UAGAACUCAACUCACAGGCAGGACAGAGAGAGAGAGAGAGAGAGACCCAGUGAAGACCUUUGAAGAUCUCUGAAGAAGUGAAGCUACAACUGAAGAUUUCAGAAGGAGACUAUCACCAUGGCGAUGCUGACCACUCUUCUGCUUCUCAGCGCUCUCGUUGCUCUGGGAGAUGCAAGGGGUAGCAGAGGGGAUCGGCAUGAUCGGCAUGAUCGGUCUGACUCGAAGGAACACAG